CAACAGCCUCCUGUCAGAUGGAUAAACAUUACUCUCAGAACAAUCUCAUCGAUACACAAUCCCCUCAAAACUGACCUCUAUUUAGCAAUCUCGCUAUGAGGAAGAGUGUGGACCUGAUUUAGGCAUUUCUGUUUGGGUAUCUGUCUAGUGAAGAGUAUGUUCGAGCGGGUAAGGCCUUGACUUUGAUUUACCCCUUCUUGAAGGACAGUGAGUGCAAUGGAUAUCACACAUGGCACAUGUCUCUGAAAUGCAAGUAUAAAUUUGAGCGGACACCUCUGGCUAAUGAAGGACCAACUUAAACAGG